rnacentral:rRNA from 1 species
GUGGGCGUUUGAGAUUUGAGGGAAGCUGCUCCUAGUACGAGAGGACCGGAGUGGACGUAUCUCUGGUGUUCCGGUUGUCACGCCAGUGGCAUUGCCGGGUAGCUAUAUACGGACAGGAUAACCGCUGAAAGCAUCUAAGCGGGAAGCCCCUCCCAAGAUUAGAUCUCACUUGUCUCUUGAAGACACUGAAGGGCCGUUGAAGACUACAACGUUGAUAGGCUGGGUGUGGAAGUGCAGUAAUGCAUGAAGCUAACCAGUACUAAUUGCCCGUGAGACUUGACCAU